rnacentral:lncRNA from 1 species
GCAGAUUGGCCAUUGCAAUAUUGAUUGGAUUCAUUGGGCCACUGCGUACACUUGAAAAUUUGGCUGAUUGGGCUGGCAGAUCACAAGUGCUGAAUUGGGCCACUAGCUGAUUUGGGUCGUUGGUGGAGAGGCAACAUUGGACAAUGCUGCUGAGUUGAAACCCUUUUGAAGAAUAAUGAAGCGCUGCAUUUUGAAACACUGUUGCCACGCCCUGCUGUUGUUGCUUUGACUUAAUUGGGCUGAACAUUUUAAUGGGCUGCACUUUAAUGAAACUGUGCGUUUCAGCUGCAGAUUUCCUAGGGGUCUCUCAGCUAGCUAUUCAUUUGGGCAGAAGCAUCCCUUGUGCUAGGGCUCCG